rnacentral:misc_RNA from 1 species
UUCGAUUAUGGCUCAGAUUGAACGCUGGCGGGAUGUUUUACACAUGCAAGUCAGACGGCGGCACGGACUUCGGUCUGGUGGCGAGUGGCGAACGGGUGAGUAAUGUAUCGGAACGUGCCUAGUAGCGGGGGAUAACUACGCGAAAGCGUAGCUAAUACCACAUACGCCCUUCCCGAAAACGGGGACCUUCCGGGCCUCGCACUAUUAGAGCGGCCGAUAUCGGAUUAGCUAGUUGGUGGGGUAACGG